GGUCUCCGAGGAGGUCGGGGUUGCCCACCGUUUGGGUAUGAUGGAUCUAUCAUACUACACGGUGCGAAGCUCCGUACUUACACGCGGGCU
rfam:Cucumber necrosis virus defective interfering RNA isolate C1.